CCAACGCCGGGGACCCCGCCCUCCGCGCCACCGCCCCCGAGGGUCCCGCCCCCUGUGCCCCUCUGCUUCCGGGAACCUUGCGCUCCUCGCCCCUCUCCCCCCGGGAGCCCCGCCCUCAGCGCAGCUCCCAGAGCCACCGUCUCGCGCCUCCUUGCGUCCUCCGGAUCCGCUCUCUCAGGGCUUACAGCGGGGCCCCCGCUUUUCGGGGCUCCCCUCGGCCAGCGCCGGAGGUGGCUGGCGCAUCCCCAGGUCCGCGCCUGGCAGCCUGACGGGACUGUUGGGGGUGACCGCCAUAGCGCCACGUGGUCACUUGUUUGACAAAGGAAACUUUUUUCUCCUUACGAAGUGCGGCAUUUCUGGUCCGAGCCACCGGCCGCCUUAUGCCUAUUGUAUUCCCUUUCCCUGCCGAGCCAUCUUUUUCGCUUUCUUUGAGCUGUCCCAAACCUGGGCUAGGGUCCUGGCGCGGUGAGCUGAUGGAAGGGGGUCGGGGGUUCAGGGCAGCGAGGGCGCCGAAGGUACGAGCUGGGGAGACUGGACUGGUGUCGGGAGUGGCGACAGAAAAUCAGGUUCCAUGCCUCCUAAAGAGAGGAGUAAAAUGAAGUGCCGGGUAGCUCACGGUGCCUUUCCCUAAAAGGGAGUGUGGAACUGCCGGCAGGCAUCUGGGGCCGGCGGGCUGGUGCACCUGCACUCCUAUGUGCUUUUGCAGGUGAAGACGUAUUCCCCGAGCCGGCCGCGGGGCCUUUGCUUUCUCUUGGAAUCUCACGAAAAUCACGAGAACUCUAGGCGGCUUGAGGUUUGCAAACCAACUGAAGAGCGGCAGAAAGUUUUCAUAGGCAGGUCAGCCGGGCCAUUUUGAAGUGUGCCCCAGAGCACAACGAUUAAAAUUAUACAGAGCCCUCAUCUGCUUUACUUUCUGGCUGAUUUGACUGUAACAGGUCUCAGAUGAAGAUACUGAGCCAUGAAAGGAAAAAACUUCACCUGAGAUCAUCCCCCGUCGCCCCUCAUGUGAUGGAACGGAGAGUCACAAAACAGAGAUGCUGCCCUGAAAGAGGACUGUUCUCUGUUCUUCACUCCCACACCCAGAAAGAACAGGAGAUGGAAGAGAGUCGGCCUGGUGUAUUUAGAAGACCGACUUCCCUGUGUGAUUGGAGGGCAGUGUUCUUGACCAAGACAAAAAAGAGAUGCAGCAAGAAAGAAAAGACAAGGAGAUGAUUUUACAAAUCUACUACGGGCAGGGAAUGUGCUUUGAAUAUGUUGAAGGUUUGGGUUAUUUUUGCCAUUGUAGGGAGAGUUUUCACUGACACAACCACGGUCUGUCACCACGUCCGGGCAGGUGUGAGGCACUCCCUGUGCCAACAGGAGCAGAAUCACCUCUGGGUAAGGCUGCAUAAUCCGCGUGAGGCUCAAAACUGGGUCCUUCCCUGUCAACACCAUACUUUACAUAGCAAAGACAACCGGCUUGACUGCUCUGCGAAAAAUGCUGAAAGACCUCUUGAAAACAACAAGACCCUCCCUGUCCAAAAUUUUCCAUUUAGAAAAGCCUCUGCAAUUUUUAGUCCUUCGUAAGAAUAUAAAUAAGUCCAGAAGCAAUUGUUCACUUUUUCCCCUUCACCUGAAAUUCCCACCCCACUGUCGCCAACUAUAGAAAUUCCAUCCUUAAGACCUAGCCCAAAUGAAGUCCCCAUGACCACCCACACCGAAGUGAAGGUAGGUAGGCACAAAAGAGACAGUUUGUCUCCUUUAUAAUCUGAUCUCAGGUAGACCUUUGUAUUUUAAUAUUUAUUUAUUUAUUUUUGGCUACGUCAGGUCUUAGUUGUGACG